GACGAACGCUGGCGGCGUGCUUAACACAUGCAAGUCGAACGGAAAGGCCCUGCUUUUGUGGGGUGCUCGAGUGGCGAACGGGUGAGUAACACGUGAGUAACCUGCCCUUGACUUUGGGAUAACUUCAGGAAACUGGGGCUAAUACCCGAUAGGAGCUCCUGCUGCAUGGUGGGUGUUGUAAAGUUUCGGCGGUUGGGGAUGGACUCGCGGCUUCUCAGCUUGUUUGUGGGGUAGUGGCUUACCAAGGCUUUGACGGGUAGCCGGCCUGAGAGGGUGACCGGCCACAUUGGGACUGAGAUACGGCCCAGACUCCUACGGGAGGCAGCAGUGGGGAAUAUUGCACAAUGGGCGGAAGCCUGAUGCAGCAACGCCGCGUGCGGGAUGACGGCCUUCGGGUUGUAAACCGCUUUCGCCUGUGACGAAGCGUGAGUGACGGUAAUGGGUAAAGAAGCACCGGCUAACUACGUG
rnacentral:rRNA from 1 species